AUCAUCCAGGUGAAAGGUGGAUGAUGAUGUUCAGGAAGGAGCUAUUCCUGCCUAUCUGCUUGAUCGUGAAACGACGACACGGGCAAAGGUUCUUAGCAACACUGUAAAGCAAAAAAGAAAAUAUAAAGCUGGAAAAUGGGAGGUUCCUCUACCCAAGAUAUUUCCCCAGUGGCAGUUUGCUUCUUGUGGAAUGCAGGCGUAUGAAGAUUGCAAUU